UUUAAUGCUACGAAUAUAGUCGUAGUUUCCUUAUAAAAUUUAAAUUCUAAAUGUGCAACACAAAGCAUUUAUUGUGACGCGCCGUUAUAAGGUACAAAGCAAUGACAAAUCACUGAGCAUACAUAUUUACCAUAACUCAACACAUUAGAUCUCAGAUACAACCUUGCAAUACAUUUAGGGCCAUGUUUUACUUGACACACGCUCAGACCUACGGUGACUCACACUGAAGCCAGCACGUUCACACGACCAUCUGAAGUCUGAACCUUUGAAUGCCUUGGCUAAAAGGUGUUGAAGCUCUGGAUUCCUCUCUGGCUGGUGUAGAAUUUGCAGCUGCCUCUGAUCUUCGACCCUUCGCCGGCGCUGAAGAUGAUAGAAUAUGUUUAUUUAAUCAUAAUAAUUUAAUAAGUGACUUAAAUAUUUUCAUAGGAAUAUGCAACAAAAUAUGACAUUGUUAGUUUUUAGGUCACAGUCUCAUACCUCAAUGACAUGUUUCUUAAUUUGUAAAAUUAUACUUAAUACUUAGCUUCUCAUCAGACCUUAUGUGUAUAUUUUUGUUCAUAAAGUAAUAUAAUUACAAUAAAUUUGUA